rnacentral:rRNA from 1 species
UACGUAGGGUGCAAGCGUUAAUCGGAAUUACUGGGCGUAAAGCGUAUGCAGGCGGACUUUUAAGUCGGGGGUGAAAUCCCGAGGCUCAACCUCGGAACUGCCUUCGAUACUGGAAGUCUUGAGUCCGGGAGAGGUGAGUGGAACUCCGAGUGUAGAGGUGAAAUUCGUAGAUAUUCGGAAGAACACCAGUGGCGAAGGCGGCUCACUGGCCCGGUACUGACGCUGAGAUACGAAAGCGUGGGGAGCAAACAGG